GACGAACGCUGGCGGCGCGCUUAAUACAUGCAAGUCGAGCGAGAACCGGAGCUUCGGCUCCGGGGACAGCGGCGAACGGGUGAGUAACACGUGGGUAACCUGCCCUCGGCACCGGGAUAGCCCGGGGAAACCCGGAUUAAUACCGGAUGGCCCUUCCGCUCUUCGGGGCGGUCGGAAAAGGUAGCUUCGGCCUCCGGCCGAGGAUGGGCCCGCGGCGGAUUAGCUUGUUGGUGAGGUAACGGCUCACCAAGGCUCCGAUCCGUAGCUGGUCUGAGAGGACGAUCAGCCACACUGGGACUGAGACACGGCCCAGACUCCUACGGGAGGCAGCAGUAGGGAAUCUUGCACAAUGGGCGCAAGCCUGAUGCAGCGACGCCGCGUGCGGGAAGACGGCCUUCGGGUUGUAAACCGCUUUCAGGAGGGACGAAGCCACUCGGGUGAAUAGCCCAGAGGGUGACGGUACCUCCAGAAGAAGCCCCGGCUAACUACGUGCCAGCCGCCGCCGUAAAAC
rnacentral:rRNA from 1 species